rnacentral:rRNA from 1 species
AUGCACGCUGGCGGCGUGCCUCAUACAUGCCAGUCGAGCGAACAGACGAGGAGCUUGCUCCUCUGACGUUAGCGGCGGACGGGUGAGUAACACGUGGAUAACCUACCUAUAAGACUGGGAUAACUUCGGGAAACCGGAGCUAAUACCGGAUAAUAUAUUGAACCGCAUGGUUCAAUAGUGAAAGACGGUUUUGCUGUCACUUAUAGAUGGAUCCGCGCCGCAUUAGCUAGUUGGUAAGGUAACGGCUUACCAAGGCGACGAUGCGUAGCCGACCUGAGAGGGUGAUCGGCCACACUGGAACUGAGACACGGUCCAGACUCCUACGGGAGGCAGCAGUAGGGAAUCUUCCGCAAUGGGCGAAAGCCUGACGGAGCAACGCCGCGUGAGUGAUGAAGGUCUUCGGAUCGUAAAACUCUGUUAUUAGGGAAGAACAAAUGUGUAAGUAACUAUGCACGUCUUGACGGUACCUAAUCAGAAAGCCACGGCUAACUACGUG